UGUAAUUGCAAAUGUUAAACAGACGUUACCACAUAGGAAAUGCUUCUGCUUUAUUUGGUUUCCAAGAAUUAAUUAAAACUGACACAGUACAAGAACCAUAUACUUAAAAAUACUGUGGAGUAUUUUUUGUAGCUUUUUCUGUGAUUUUGAGAAAUAAAUAUUUUCGUUGUUGCAGGAACUAAGUAAAUCAAAGUGUGAUACCAAUAUCGUAACUCAGCACCUGCAAGAAUCGUACAGUUAGAAAUUACAGUGGAAUGGCAUAUUUUUAAACUACAGUUUUAAAAUAUAAUUAACAAUAUUCGUGUAUGACAACUCAUUCAAGUCAACGUUGAAAAUAAACUCGUAUAUAAGGCUAAAACUUUGUAAUAUUCGUGUUUUACCUUCUUGCUUCCAUUUUAAUGGCACUUUGGCCGUUCUACGUUUGUAAGUAUAAAAUGCUGUGGUAUUGUUAAUAACCUUAAUCGUUAAGUGGUAAAACAGAAAUAAACUUCUUUAUUUAGACUUAAAAUGA